UGUUACUGGACAACUAGUAAUAGCAAUUCAGGGGUUAGGGGUCUGAAUUUCUAUUCAAAACCACCCGUAAUAACAUUUUUCCUUUUUUGGACCAAAAUAGCUUGCCUCUCUUCUUUAUCGUUUUCACUUUCACUUCAGAUUUCUUUCUCGACAUUUAUCCCCAAAGUGAACCCCAAAAAUUAGCUCCUUAAUCAAUGACAAAUUAAGCAUCCAUUCACUAUCUUCAUCUUCCUUCUAGUUGAACCUCCUUAUUUACAGUAAGCUUGAUUGCUUGCUUUGAAGAUAUAGUUUUGCUUUGUAAUAUUUGUAAUUUCUGUAAGUUUAUCAUCAGGACGUGUUGCAUUCUUGUUGUAGUCUGUUUUAUAUCUAAUAAGACAUGCCCUUUCAAGGUGCGAUUCCUAGGAGCCAAACUCGAGUCACUUAUGUUCAAAUAGAAGGUUUUAGCUUCUCAUGUAUAAGCUAUUGGUAUAUGCAAGAAAUUGUUUGCUCAGACUAUUUAUUACUUUUAAUCUUUUACUUUUUAGUUUAGAAGAUAAUUAAA